GAUGGAAUCAAAUACGCAGUAUUUACAGAAAAAAGUCUUCUUUUAUUGGGCAAGAGUCAAUAUACUUUUAAUGUCGAAUCGGGAUUUAGUAAGAUAGAAAUAAAGCAUUGGUUCAAACUCUUCUUUGGUGUUAAGGUGGUAGCUGUGAAUGGCCAUCGACUACCUGGAAAAGGUAGAAGAAUAUGACCUAUUCUGGGCCAUACAAUGCAUUACAGACGUAUGAUCAUUACCCUUCAACCGGGUUAUUCUAUCUUGCUUCUAGAUAGAUAA
rnacentral:rRNA from 1 species